rnacentral:rRNA from 1 species
UACGUAGGGUGCGAGCGUUAAUCGGAAUUACUGGGCGUAAAGCGUGCGCAGGCGGUUCGUUGUGUCGGAUGUGAAAGCCCCGGGCUCAACUUGGGAACGGCAUUGGAAACUGGCGAGCUAGAGUGUGGCAGAGGGGGGUGGAAUUCCGCGUGUAGCAGUGAAAUGCGUAGAGAUGCGGAGGAACACCGAUGGCGAAGGCAGCCCCCUGGGCUGACACUGACGCUCAGGCACGAAAGCGUGGGGAGCAAACAGG